UACGUAGGGUGCAAGCGUUAAUCGGAAUUACUGGGCGUAAAGCGUGCGCAGGCGGUUAUGCAAGACAGAUGGGAAAUCCCCGGGCUUAACCUGGGAACUGCAUUUGUGACUGCAUAGCUGGAGUACGGUAGAGGGGGAUGGAAUUCCGCGUGUAGCAGUGAAAUGCGUAGAUAUGCGGAGGAACACCGAUGGCGAAGGCAGUCCCCUGGACCUGUACUGACGCUGAGACGCGAAAGCGUGGGGAGCGAACCGG
rnacentral:rRNA from 1 species